GGAGCAAACACUCAACUCCCUCACUACACAGACACAGGUGGAUAAGCUCCUCUCUCCCUCACAGAACAUGUCCGCCCCUCUUCCACUACAUCCCCACCGGCGGCGAGACGAACACCCACCCCUGCCUGGUCCAUGGCGGCCGCCCUUCCCCUGCCGCCGAUCUAUGUCCCCUCCCCCACCCCCUCCUGCCGCUGCGCCGGUCCAUGGCGGUCUCUUCACGCAGCCCGGAUCUGCCGCCUACGGCUUCCACCUCGCUUCCCUUUUCCCCAUCGCUCUCCAGCCCCGCGACGAACGCGUUCGCGGCCACCAGCCUAGUCCGCAGCCACGGCUCCGCUCCGGCCGCCAUGGAUGAGUUUUGCCUCCAAUGGGUCGUCGGCACCGACCACCGGGCAACCUUGGAGGGAUCCGGCAGAGGCUCCCCACCUCUACUACGGCUGGAGGAGGCCAUCGAUGCCCCCUACUACGCGCCGUCCCAGCAACAACGAGCGCCGCCGCGUCCGUUCGUGGGUACCCCCUGCUCAGCGUACUUCGUAGACGAUGUUCUACAAGCAGUCUUGCCCGGGAAGAAAAUGCACAUCACGGGGAACUUGAGUGUGGAGAAGAAAAACCCAGUCUAGGCAGGUGCGUUGGCUGAGGACUUGGUUGGCGCCGACGUCGUCGGCUGCUGAAGGCGGCGAUGGCCAACACUCGCUGGACGGCGAUGGCGCAACAGUGGCUUGGCGGCGCCGACGUCUCACUGCAAUGUGCGUUUGAACGGCGACAUCGAAGAAAGACAUCGAGAUUAACUGGGAUGGAACUGGCCACAUACUGCGCACAAGAGGAUAGUCUGCAUCUGCGUUGGCUAGAAGCUCGUCGGCGCGAGCGUCGUCCGCUGCGCAUGGCGGCGAUGGCGCAGGACAGGCUGGGCGGCUGCGACGUACGUCCGGGCGGGCAAAGGCAGGAAGAUCGAGUUGAUUCCCGUAAGUUUAGCCGUUUGUUGUGAGGCGGACAUAUCAAUUGCCGUAAUUGUGGCUGUUUUUCUGUAAUUGAUUGGCUUGAAUUUUUUUUUGCGGGGAGGUGGAACUUGUCGAUCGAUGGCAGAGUUUCGUCCGCUAUUCUAAAUUGCUAAACGCACACAGGUGGGGCCUGACUUUAAUC